rnacentral:rRNA from 1 species
AUUAUAGGCUUUCUUUAGUUAAAUAAUUAAAUUUAAUUUUUUUAGUGCAAAAGCAAAAAUUAAAUUUAGGGACAAGAAGACCCUAUGAAUUUUAAUUUAAUUUAUAAUUUGAAAUUUUAAAUUAAAUUUGAUUGGGGCGAUGGAAAAAGAAUGAGUAUCUUUUUUAGUUUUAAAAAUUGGUUCCGUUUUUAACGAUUAAAUGAGAAAAAUACUCUAGGGAUAACAGCGUAAUAAUUUUGGAUAGUUCUUAUAGAUAAAAUAGUUUGCGACCUCGAUGUUGGAUUAGGAUUCUUUCUUGGCGAAGAAGUUAAGAAAAAGAAGUUUGUUCAACUUUUAAAUUCCUACUUGAUCUGAGUUCAGACCGGA